UACAGAGGUGGCAAGCGUUGUUCGGAAUUACUGGGCGUAAAGGGCGCGUAGGCGGCCCGCUAAGUCGAACGUGAAAUCCCCAGGCUCAACCUGGGAACUGCGUCCGAUACUGGCAGGCUUGAAUCCGGGAGAGGGAUGUGGAAUUCCAGGUGUAGCGGUGAAAUGCGUAGAUAUCAUGAGGAAUACCAGAGGCGAAGGCGGCUACCUGGACAAUUGCUGACGCUCAGGCACGAAAGCGUGGGGAGCAAAAGGG
rnacentral:rRNA from 1 species